rnacentral:lncRNA from 1 species
CAGGGCCAUGUCCUGUGAUUGGCAGCUCCUCAGAACCACAUGGAGUGGAAGAGCUGUUCCUAGAAAUAGGGUGCUUGUUAUUCUGAGAGAGGAGCAAUUGCUUGAAAAUCUGUGAUAGCAAAACUGUACAAGUGGGAGAUUAUUUCAUUUCCAACAUAUAACCAAUCAUGCUGUCCCCAGAACCGCCCAAGAAGAAACUCCCAAUCUCGGAACAGGCACACGGCUCGAAUUAUCAGAAAAGCCGUUGAGAUAAGACAUGCAUGAUCUCCUUCCUAAAGAGGACAAGAAUGACAGCCACGUCAUCUGGAGAAGGCAGCCAGGGAAGUAGUCAAGAGAAAACACUUCUGUGGGUGACUUGAAGAAGCUGGUUACCAUAUGGUUGUUGGCCAAGCUUUGCUGGCUUUUUUGCAGCUUUCUGUUCCCGCAAGUUACUCCCCCAAAUCCUACCUAUUUUAAAAGCAACUCUCACAGGAAGAAAGGCUUGGUAGCCAACAGAUGACCACCACAUUCUCUCCCCCAAGACGUCUGAUUUCAGAAG